rnacentral:rRNA from 1 species
GUGCCAGCAGCCGCGGUAAUACAGAGGGUGCAAGCGUUAAUCGGAAUUACUGGGCGUAAAGCGAGCGUAGGUGGCUUGAUAAGUCAGAUGUGAAAGCCCCGGGCUUAACCUGGGAACGGCAUCUGAUACUGUUAGGCUAGAGUAGGUGAGAGGAAGGUAGAAUUCCAGGUGUAGCGGUGAAAUGCGUAGAGAUCUGGAGGAAUACCGAUGGCGAAGGCAGCCUUCUGGCAUCAUACUGACACUGAGGUUCGAAAGCGUGGGUAGCAAACAGGAUUAGAUACCCUGGUAGUCCACGCCGUAAACGAUGUCUACUAGUCGUUGGGUCCCUUGAGGACUUAGUGACGCAGCUAACGCAAUAAGUAGACCGCCUGGGGAGUACGGCCGCAAGGUUAAAACUCAAAUGAAUUGACGGGGGCCCGCACAAGCGGUGGAGCAUGUGGUUUAAUUCGAUGCAACGCGAAGAACCUUACCUGGUCUUGACAUAUCUAGAAUCCUGCAGAGAUGCGGGAGUGCCUUCGGGAAUUAGAAUACAGGUGCUGCAUGGCUGUCGUCAGCUCGUGUCGUGAGAUGUUGGGUUAAGUCCCGCAACGAGCGCAACCCUUGUCCUUAGUUACCAGCGGUUUGGCCGGGAACUCUAAGGAUACUGCCAGUGACAAACUGGAGGAAGGCGGGGACGACGUCAAGUCAUCAUGGCCCUUACGACCAGGGCUACACACGUGCUACAAUGGUAGGUACAGAGGGCAGCUACACAGCGAUGUGAUGCGAAUCUCAAAAAGCCUAUCGUAGUCCAGAUUGGAGUCUGCAACUCGACUCCAUGAAGUAGGAAUCGCUAGUAAUCGCGGAUCAGAAUGCCGCGGUGAAUACGUUCCCGGGCCUUGUACACACCGCCCGUCACACCAUGGGAGUUGAUUGCACCAGAAGUGGUUAGCCUAACCUUUUAGGAAGGCGAUCACCACGGUGUGGUUGAUGACUGGGGUGAAGUCG